CUCAACGAGCAAGCGACACGCGACAAUCACAAACUGUCGUUAGAACAUUUCUACAGAUACAGUCGAUUGCGGCUGUUGGUUCUGCGAGAUGUGGCGUUUGGUCUGUCUGCUCCUGUUUCUUGGAGCUUUUGGUGUCAUGGGUUCAAAUUGGAGAUUAAAACUUAUACAUCGGACAAAGCUGACGCAGGAACAGACUCCCGUAUCUAUAUUACUCUCUUUGGAACUCUCGGAUCUUCCGAAGAAAUAGAAUUAGAUAAUCACGAAAACAACUUUGAGAGAGGAAAGAUUGACAGAUUCUUUGUAUCAAUGGACGACAUUGGUGAAGUGUGCUCAGUGCGCAUCAGGUCUGACGAUAGUAAACUUGCUUCUGGCUGGCAUCUCCAAAAGAUUUGGAUUAAAUCAAGAUCAGAAAACAAUUUUUGGUGUAACUGCUGGUUAUCAAAGGAGACUACAUUACAGAGGGAACUCACCCCUGAAUACAAAUGCCACAUGGCGAAGAAAUAAGUAAACUGAUGUGGGUGCAGACUUUGAAUACGGCGUUGACCAACCAGCAUAAAGGUAUUGAAAAUAUCAGACAUCUAAAAUGCAAGGUGAAAAUAAAAAGUUGAACUGCAAA